UACAGAGGUCCCAAGCGUUGUUCGGAUUCACUGGGCGUAAAGGGUGCGUAGGUGGUGAGGUAAGUCGGAUGUGAAAUCUCCGGGCUCAACCCGGAAAUGGCAUUGGAAACUACCUUGCUGGAGGAUUUGAGGGGGGAUUGGAAUACUUGGUGUAGCAGUGAAAUGCGUAGAUAUCAAGUGGAACACCAGUGGCGAAGGCGAAUCCCUGGAAAAUACCUGACACUGAGCACGAAAGCUAGGGGAGCAAAGCAGG
rnacentral:rRNA from 1 species